AAAGUUUAUGGUGGAAAGUUGAG
rnacentral:siRNA from 1 species